ACUUCGGUGGAUUUUAAAUUGACUGAGCGGCGGACGGGUGAGUAACGCGUGGAUAACCUGCCUCACACAGGGGGACAACAGUUGGAAACGACUGCUAAUACCGCAUAAGACCACACUAUCGCAUGAUAGAGGGGUCAAAGAAAUAUCGCUUAUGGAUGGGCUCGCGUCCCAUUAGGUAGUUGGUGAGGUAACGGCCCACCAAGCCAACGAUGGGUAGCCGAGCUGAGAGGCUGAUCGGCCACACUGGAACUGAGACACGGUCCAGACUCC
rnacentral:rRNA from 1 species